rnacentral:rRNA from 1 species
AUUAAACGGCCGCGGUAUUCUGACCGUGCAAAGGUAGCGCAAUCACUUGUCUCUUAAAUGGAGACCCGUAUGAAUGGUCAAACGAGGACUUAACUGUCUCCCCUUUCCAGUCAAUGAAAUUGAUCUAUCCGUGCAGAAGCGGGUAUACUAAUACAAGACGAGAAGACCCUUUGGAGCUUAAGGCAGACCAUCACCUAUGUAAGUACAAAAUAUCCAAACCAAGUAGCACUUGAUGAGCGCCUUCGGUUGGGGUGACCGCGGAACAAAACUGAACCUCCGCAAGGAUUGAAGAAACCCUUUUAAAUAAGAGAAAGACAUUUCUAAAUCACAGAAUUUCUGACCACAAAGAUCCGAUUAUAUCGAUCAACGAACCAAGUUACCCAAGGGAUAACAGCGCAAUCCCCUUUCAGAGUUCCUAUCGCCAAGGGGGUUUACGACCUCGAUGUUGGAUCAGGACAUCCUAAUGGUGUAGC